AGAGUUUGAUCCUGGCUCAGGAUGAACGCUAGCGGCAGGCCUAACACAUGCAAGUCGAGGGGCAGCAUGGCGUAGCGAUACGCUGAUGGCGACCGGCGCACGGGUGCGUAACGCGUAUGCAACCUGUCCGGCGCAGGGGGGUAGCCCGUCGAAAGGCGGGGUAAUCCCGCAUGAACCGGUAUUCCCGCAUGGGGGUGCCGGCAAAGUGGAGACGCGGGGCCGGAGGGGCAUGCGUGCCAUUAGCUGGCUGGUGGGGUAACGGCCCACCAGGGCGAUGAUGGCUAGGGGGUCUGAGAGGAUGGUCCCCCACACUGGUACUGAGACACGGACCAGACUCCUACGGGAGGCAGCAGUGAGGAAUAUUGGUCAAUGGGCGGAAGCCUGAACCAGCCAUGCCGCGUGCAGGAAGGAGGCCCUACGGGUUGUAAACUGCUUUUACCCGGGAAGAAACCGCCCCCUGUGGGGGGCGUUGCCGGUACCGGGGGAAAAAGGAUCGGCUAACUCCGUGCCAGCAGCCGCGGUAAUACGGAGGAUCCGGGCGUUAUCCGGAAUUACUGGGUUUAAAGGGUGCGUAGGCGGGGCUUUAAGCCGGCGGUGAAAUGCAGCGGCUCAACCGCUGGAAUGCCGUUGGGACUGGGGCUCUUGGAUACGGUCGGGGCGGGUGGAACUCGUGGUGUAGCGGUGAAAUGCAUAGAUAUCACGAGGAACGCCGGUAGCGAAGGCAGCUCGCCGGGCCGGUAUUGACGCUGAGGCACGAAAGCGUGGGGAUCGAACAGGAUUAGAUACCCUGGUAGUCCACGCCGUAAACGAUGAUGGCUGGGUGUUGGCGAUAGACGGUCAGCGCCUGAGGGAAACCAUUAAGCCAUCCACCUGGGGAGUACGGCCGCAAGGCUGAAACUCAAAGGAAUUGACGGGGGCCCGCACAAGCGGAGGAACAUGUGGUUUAAUUCGAUGAUACGCGAGGAACCUUACCUGGGCUUAAAUGUAGAGUGCAUUCGGCUGAAAGGCUGAUUUCCUUCGGGACUCUCUGCAAGGUGCUGCAUGGUUGUCGUCAGCUCGUGCCGUGAGGUGUCGGGUUAAGUCCCAUAACGAGCGCAACCCCUACGUCCAGUUGCCAGCGGGUAGAGCCGGGGACUCUGGAUGGACAGCCGGCGUAAGCCGCGAGGAGGGGGGGGAUGACGUCAAAUCAGCACGGCCCUUACGUCCAGGGCUACACACGUGUUACAAUGGCCGGUACAGCGGGAGGCGACCCCGGGAGGGGGAGCGGAUCCCGAAAGCCGGUCGUAGUUCGGAUCGGAGUCUGGAACCCGACUCCGUGAAGCUGGAUUCGCUAGUAAUCGCGCAUCAGCCACGGCGCGGUGAAUACGUUCCCGGGCCUUGUACACACCGCCCGUCAAGCCAUGGGAGCCGGGGGGACCUGAAGUGCGUGACCGCGAGGGGCGCCCUAGGGUAAACCCGGUGACUGGGGCUAAGUCGUAACAAGGUAGCCGUACCGGAAGGUGCGGCUG
rnacentral:rRNA from 1 species